UACGGGGGGAGCAAGCGUUGUUCGGAAUUACUGGGCGUAAAGGGCGCGUAGGCGGCCUCUUAAGUCGAACGUGAAAUCCCCGGGCUCAACCCGGGAACUGCGUCCGAUACUGGGAGGCUUGAAUCCGGGAGAGGGAUGUGGAAUUCCAGGUGUAGCGGUGAAAUGCGUAGAUAUCGGGAGGAACAUCAGUGGCGAAGGCGGCUACCUGGCCCAAUACUGACACUCAGGUGCGACAGCGUGGGGAGCAAACAGG
rnacentral:rRNA from 1 species